UACAGAGACUGCAAGCGUUAUUCGGAUUCACUGGGCGUAAAGGGUGCGCAGGCGGCCGUGUGUGUGAGGCGUGAAGGCCCGAUGCUUAACAUCGGAAUUGCACCUCAAACUACACGGCUAGAGCAUUGGAGAGGGUAGCGGAAUUCACGGUGUAGCAGUGAAAUGCGUAGAUACCGUGAGGAACACCAGAGGCGAAGGCGGCUACCUGGACAAUUGCUGACGCUCAGGCACGAAAGCGUGGGGAGCAAAAGGG
rnacentral:rRNA from 1 species